rnacentral:rRNA from 1 species
GACGAACGCUGGCGGCGUGCUUAACACAUGCAAGUCGAACGGAAAGGCCCUGCUUUUGUGGGGUGCUCGAGUGGCGAACGGGUGAGUAACACGUGAGUAACCUGCCCUUGACUUUGGGAUAACUUCAGGAAACUGGGGCUAAUACCGGAUAGGAGCUCCUGCUGCAUGGUGGGGGUUGGAAGGUUUCGGCGGUUGAGGAUGGACUCGCGGCUUAUCAGCUUGUUGGUGGGGUAGUGGCUUACCAAGGCUUUGACGGGUAGCCGGCCUGAGAGGGUGACCGGCCACAUUGGGACUGAGAUACGGCCCAGACUCCUACGGGAGGCAGCAGUGGGGAAUAUUGCACAAUGGGCGGAAGCCUGAUGCAGCAACGCCGCGUGCGGGAUGACGGCCUUCGGGUUGUAAACCGCUUUCGCCUGUGACGAAGCGUGAGUGACGGUAAUGGGUAAAGAAGCACCGGCUAACUACGUG